rnacentral:rRNA from 1 species
UGACGGCCUUCGGGUUGUAAACCUCUUUCAGUAGGGAAGAAGCGUAAGUGACGGUACCUGCAGAAGAAGCGCCGGCUAACUACGUGCCAGCAGCCGCGGUAAUACGUAGGGCGCAAGCGUUAUCCGGAAUUAUUGGGCGUAAAGAGCUCGUAGGCGGUUUGUCGCGUCUGCCGUGAAAGUCCGGGGCUCAACUCCGGAUCUGCGGUGGGUACGGGCAGACUAGAGUGAUGUAGGGGAGACUGGAAUUCCUGGUGUAGCGGUGAAAUGCGCAGAUAUCAGGAGGAACACCGAUGGCGAAGGCAGGUCUCUGGGCAUUAACUGACGCUGAGGAGCGAAAGCAUGGGGAGCGAACAGGAUUAGAUACCCUGGUAGUCCAUGCCGUAAACGUUGGGCACUAGGUGUGGGGGACAUUCCACGUUUUCCGCGCCGUAGCUAACGCAUUAAGUGCCCCGCCUGGGGAGUACGGCCGCAAGGCUAAAACUCAAAGGAAUUGACGGGGGCCCGCACAAGCGGCGGAGCAUGCGGAUUAAUUCGAUGCAACGCGAAGAACCUUACCAAGGCUUGACAUGAACCGGACCGCUGCAGAAAUGUGGUUUCCCCUUUGGGGCUGGUUUACAGGUGGUGCAUGGUUGUCGUCAGCUCGUGUCGUGAGAUGUUGGGUUAAGUCCCGCAACGAGCGCAACCCUCGUUCUAUGUUGCCAGCACGUG